AUAAUUCUUUAUAAUAUUUAUAUUGGAUUCAUUUCAGAUUUAAACUCAUUUUAGAUUCAAAUAUUUUACGGUUGGAUAAAAAUUAUGUGAAACUAAAUAUUUGAGUAUCAUAGAUACUUAUUUAAGUUUCGAGUAUUUAUUCUACAAACUAAUUCAGAAAUUUAAAUCAAUUUUUGAGAUUUCUAUUUUUUUUUUUUUUGGUACAUUGCAUUCAAAAUUAUUGAUAGCUCAUCUAGAAGAGUUCCACAUCAUCCACCAAUGAAUUUCAUGAAUCUGGAUUCGCUCAGACUCAAGCUAUCAAUUCGAAAACCUCUCCGGUGGAAUUUUUAUAGAUAUCAAAUAUCUUUCUGUGUUCUCUUCUUUUCGUUAAUCUCUCAAGAGUUUGAUAUCACUGCUGAUUCUCUGGCAAAAGCAGCAUUGUGUAAUCACUCUAUCUUUUACUAGACUUCUCUUCAUCUGAUUGAAGUGUUUGUUGUUCAAAAACAAAACAUGUACUAUAUCUUCAUUUCUCAGAAGUUCAAUGACUUAACUAACAAUUUUUGAAUUUUGUCUCUUUAUAAAACAACAAUAUACAAAUAAUUAAAUUCAUAACAAUAACGUAACUGAUGCUAUACACCAAAGUUAUAACAUCAUUUGGUUGCUUAUACAGCCAUAAGAAAAUUAUAUUCGCCGCAAACUAAUCUCAAUCAACGUGAUCAUUGUGAUGUAAAUGC